UACGUAGGGGGCAAGCGUUGUCCGGAUUUAUUGGGCGUAAAGAGCGUGUAGGCGGCCUGAAAGGUCAGCUGUGAAAACUCGAGGCUCAACCUCGAGACGUCGGUUGAAACCAUCUGGCUAGAGUCCGGAAGAGGAGAGUGGAAUUCCCGGUGUAGAGGUGAAAUUCGUAGAUAUCGGGAGGAACACCAGUGGCGAAGGCGGCGAUCUGGGAAGAUACUGACGCUGAGGUGCGAAAGCGUGGGGAGCAAACAGG
rnacentral:rRNA from 1 species